UGGGAAUAUUGCACAAUGGGGAAACCCUGAUGCAGCGACGCCGCGUGGAGGAAGAAGGUCUUCGGAUUGUAAACUCCUGUUGUUGGGGAAGAUAAUGACGGUACCCAACAAGGAAGUGACGGCUAACUACGUGCCAGCAGCCGCGGUAAAACGUAGGUCACAAGCGUUGUCCGGAAUUACUGGGUGUAAAGGGAGCGCAGGCGGGAAGACAAGUUGGAAGUGAAAUCUAUGGGCUCAACCCAUAAACUGCUUUCAAAACUGUUUUUCUUGAGUAGUGCAGAGGUAGGCGGAAUUCCCGGUGUAGCGGUGGAAUGCGUAGAUAUCGGGAGGAACACCAGUGGCGAAGGCGGCCUACUGGGCACCAACUGACGCUGAGGCUCGAAAGUGUGGGUAGCAAAAC
rnacentral:rRNA from 1 species